AUAAAGAUGGUAAUGACUAGUCACAGGUUAGUUUUAUUUCCACACUGAUCAACUGAUAUUUAGUAUUAACCUUUGAAAUAGGAAUGCUUUACCAAAAUAUCAGUUUUCAGAACUUGAUUGACUCUUUGUAAACCAACUUUUUAAGUCAUUUUACAUUGUCAUACUUUUCAAAACUAUUGACAAAAGUCUCUCUUUUUUUUCUCCCAAUAGAAAUUUGGCCUACCGGGUAAGCAAUAUUCUUAGAAAGCUUGUUUGAUAUUAAACCAUGACCUCUUUUAUUAGUCUCCUACCAAACAUGGCAGUUUACAUUAAACACCAUCUUUAGUGUUGAAAGUGGCAUUAAACACCAAUCAAUCAAUAUUGACUCUUUCUGCUUGACUUCUUUUUUUAUGCUUUAACCUGCUGAUUUCAUUUUUGGUAUGUAGAAUAAAAAUAAUGAGUUACUGGUCAGGUUAAUUCAAUAAUUGCUAGUCAAAUUAUAGUUACGAGUGUAGAGUUAUAUAGCUCUUUGAUAUAGAGAAGUUAACCAAAUUUCGUAAUUUAUAAAGCAGAUUUGGGACUAAAGAACAUGAAGAAGUAAAAGACUUAAAAAAGUGUACAAUUUAUAAAUAAAUUGCAAGCACAGGUAAUUAUACAACAUUCUAAAAUUAAAAAUAUUCCAAGUUUGAAUAAUAGCUUGUUUUAACUUAAAACAAGUAUUGACAUACACGAACAAUCCUGAAGGGUCUCAACAAUACAUUUUUUAAAUCAAUUUUAUAUUUAUAUCAGUUUAUUAACUGUUUUUGUUUCAGAUGAUAAAAAUGUAGUGCUAUCUUUAAGAAAUGGUAAAAAGCUUAACAAAUCACCUUUAUUUUCCUGUACAAAGCAGUUGUAUGAAGUUAUACCCCUGGAGUGGACUGGUUUUGCCUUUUCAUAGGUCCUUCCCUGUUCCACCUUGUUCCUGUUUCCAAUCCAGUCCUUGAAUUAUAAUGAAUGAUAAGGAUAUUUCUUUUCCAAAUACAUAUUUUAAAAAUAUAAGGUAGAACUGUAGCACUAUUCAAUAAAAUCUUGGACUUAAACUGGAGCUCUUAAUAAAAACAAUUCCAUUCAUUUGAUUCCAGUGUUGACUUUUUAAUUUGUUAAAUCAUCCAUACCUGUACAAUUUUGAAUAGGGAUAUUCCACCGAUGAUAAUGAAAAGUUUUAAUUUUUAUGCCCUACCGAUUAUGUUUUUUCGGUCUGUGCAUCCGUUCAUCUGUCAAUUUGUACCAUCCAUUUGUCCGUCUGUCCCACUUCAGGUUAAAGAUUCCCUGUUUCUAAGCCAAAUCCUUAUAUUUUUCUUAUGUUGAGUAAACUUUUACACUUUUAUUGUUGAUAUCUACAGGCACAAUUUGUUAACCCAUAUAUAUUAUAUACAAUUGAACAUGUAUAAACAGAAUGUGUUGUGUCAUGAUUAAAAAAAUCAUAGGUUCCCAAAACAAAUAAGUUGAUGUGGUCCAGAAACCAUUCUCAUAUAUAUGAUGAGGCAGUUCCAUAUACAUCCAUGUGAUGUUCAUUAAAUUUAUAUGACUAAAACGUCUUUACUUGGACAUUCAGUACAGCAAUAAUUAGCCAUUUACUAGACCAAAGCAUUUUUACUGGUCUUUUAGAAGUUGCCCAAUGUUUAACAACUUUUGAAAUCACUGAAAAUUGUAAACAAAAUUUUAAUGCAUACUAUGAUCACUUGCCGAUCCAGGCCUGUUCUGCUACAGGCAACAAUGUGUUUAUCAACACUCCCUUUUCCUUUUGAUGUCAUGCCAUCAUGAAACAUUUCUUCCAAUAUUUCUCUAUUUGCUGCAUUUAUAUUUGUUCUCUGAAAUGAAAAAAAAGAUUUGAUAGACUGGUGUACAGAAAUUGGACCGAAACAAAUUUUUCAGAUCAUUUUUCGAAAUUGAUUGCACUAUUUGAAGACAUAAUUAAAAAGCCCUUAGAAUAGACAUAUCAUGGGUCUAUAGGAGCCAAUGAUAUUUGUUUUGGUAUAGUCCACAUCAUUCCCUGUGAAGCCAUUACAUAUAAUUGUAAAAGACCACUUACACAAGUCAUUUUAAAUGAAAGGAAAAUAACAAAUCAGCAGACAAAAUUUGUAUGUCCCUGUUGUCACUGGAGGGGUAACUAAGUAUUUCACAUCCAAUCUUUUAUGGUAAUAUUCUUUACAAAGCACAAAAAUGUCAGUAUUCACCUCAAAAGCUAACAAAACCUUUAAACAGACUUAUUAAGAAAGGAUAUAGUUACGAUUCUGUUGUCAGGUCAUUAAAGAUUGCAUAUUUUGGCUUUAAUAAUGAUUCAUUUAUAGGGUUUUUGCAUCGGAAUUAAACACAUUUAUUCUAAAACCAGUUGUUGGCAUGACACGGGUUAUGUUGUUCUCAUAUAUUUUAUGAUGGUAUAAUACUAAACCCCUAACAGGAGGGAUUGUGCUUGAUAUUCAUAUGAUGAACACAUAACCUUUCAAUCAGUUUAAUUGAGGUCUGGAGCUGGCAUGUCAGUAACUGCUAGUAGUCUUUUGUUAUUUAUGUAUUAUUGUCAUUUUGUUUAUUUUCUUUUGUUAUCUAUUCUGACAUCGGACUCAGACUUCUCUUAAACUGAGUUUUACUGUGCGUAUUGUUGUGCGUUUGUUUUUUCUUCAUUUGCUAGAGGUAUAGGGGGAGGAUUGGAAUCUCAAAAACAUGUUUAACCCCGCUGCAUUUUUGUGCCUGUCCCAAGUCAGGAGCCUCUGGCCUUUGUUAGUCUUGUAUGAUUUUUAAUUUUAGUUUCUUGUGUAUAAUUUGGAGUUUAGUAUGACGUCCGUUAUCACUGAACUAGUAUACAUAUUUGUUUAGGGGCCAGCUGAAGGUGCCUCAGGGUGCGAAAGUUUCUCGCUGCAUUGAAGACCCAUUGGUGGCCUUCCCACAUAACACAGAUCAAAUUUGAAUUUGAGUGGCAGUGCUUUUACUGUUCUUGAGAUAUGUCCCGUUUGAAUGUUAUAUGCAAGUAAAUUAAGACCCAUGAUACUCCAGCAGUUCCCAAGUUUAAGAAGAAAAUAUAAUGAUUGACUAUAUAGUUUUGCUGUGAUGUACUUCUUGCAAGGAGGAUGUGAUCAUUAACACAUUUUUUUUAAAAUCAGUAACAAAAAAAAGACCAUAACAUCAAUUUGCACAAUUGAUCUAGUGGCUUCAGAUUGUUUUAAUGAAUUUCUUAUUUUUAUAUGACUUAAAUUAAGAAAGUUAAACAAGUUUUUUUUAUCUAUAAUUCAGUUUCAGAGCUAACACACAACAGACAAAAGUGAUAGUUAUUAUAACAGAGACAGAAUGUGAGAAGAUAUUCACACCAAAAAUAUCAAGUCUUCUAAAUGAACUGACCAUUUUGUUUUUAAAUGUAUUUUAUUCUGGAUAUUUCAUGUAGUGUUGUGCUGGUACAGGUAGUACAGACAUUGUUAUAUUAACUUGCAGUCAAGUAUGCCAAAAAAAUUGCAGGUUUAAACAAUUAUUCAAACAAGAACAAAAAGCUUUCAUAUAAGGCUUAGCAUGUGGCAGAAAUUUCCAAUCAGUCCAGAGUAUUGUUUGAGAAUAUACCAUAUUCUAUAUAGGAUGCCAUUUUUUGGUAUAUUCAACAGUAUAAAGGGAGGUAACAAAUGGCACUUAUUGCAAUGGGAAUAAAACAUUUUUCCAGUUUCAGUACCUUAAUCUGCGGUGAUUUGAAUUUUUGUAGAAGGAAUUAUUCUAUUAAAAAAAAUACAUAUACAAUAUAAGGUCAAUGUCAGAAAAAUAUAAACUUUUUUGUAUGAGGCUGAGAAAUUGGGAAGGGCGAGGUUGUACCGAGCCCUUCCCCAGUUUCGUGCAGUCGUACAAAAAAAAAAAUUUCAGACAUUGACCUUGUAUUGUUUUUAUACUGCAACAUAAAUUGAUACAUUGAUAGCUAUACAAAUUGUAACACAGAUUUCAAACUUAUUUUCCUCCCUUAAUGAAUCCUUGAUUAAGAAAAAAAGUGUUCCAUGAUGAAAUUGAUAUUGCACAAAAUAUAGCUGUGAUACUAUAUUUAGGAAAUAAACACAACUAGUUGCAGUAUAUAAUAGGAUAUAUAUUUUUAGUCCAGUAAAUUAAUGUUAUGUGUCUGUUUGUACAUACUGUAUCGGGUUGAUUUUGGUCACAGUAGUUAAUGAAGAAGUAAAAGUCACGUCACAUUUGAGAUAGAAUAAUGGAUGGAAAUGUCAAAGAGACAUUAACCCAACUAAAGAGCAAAAUAAAGCCCAAAAAGUUUUAUACAUGGAAAAUAACUAAUCAUCCCUAAAAAGAAGUCCAUCAUACUUAGCUACAUAAGAACAGCUAAUGCAAAAGUGAUGAUUCUUUUGAUUUCCCUCUUCUUAUAGUUUGUGUAUUGACAUUUUCUAUAAGUAGUUAGUUAAAUAAAUCCAAAGUUUUAUUGGGCCAAUUCUUUUUAGUAUAAAUCAUCAUUUAAAGGAAUUUCUCUUUACAUUAAAGUUAGCUAACAAUUUGAGUCAUGUUUACAUAUUUGUAGAUCUUUCCUCAGAGUUCAGUAUUUUUGUGAUUUUUGUCGAGCCUGCGACUUUUGUCGCAGAAAGCUCGACAUAGGAAUAGUGAUCCGGCGGCGGCAUUAGCUUACUUCUUAAAAGCUUUAUAUUUUAGAAGGUGGAAGACCUGGAUGCUUCAUACUUUGUAUAUAGAUGCAUCAUGUUAUGAAGUUUCUGUCAGUCACAUGUCCAAUGUCCUUGACCUCAUUUUCAUGGUUCAGUGACUACUUGAAAAAAAAGUUAAGAUUUUUUGUAAUGUUAAAUUCUCUCUUAUUUUAAGUAAUAGGAUAAAUAUAUUUGGUAUAUGCGUACCUUGCAAGGGGCUCAUGCCCCUCAGACAGUUUUCACUUGACCUCGACCAUUUCAUGGAUCAGUGAACAAGGUUAAGUUUUGGUGGUCAAGUCCAUAUCUCAGAUACUUUUAAGCAAUAGGUCUAGUAUAUUCGGUGUAUGGAAGGACUGUAAGGUGUACAUGUCCAACUGGUAGGUGUCAUCUGACCUUGACCUCAUUUUCAUGGUUCAGUGGUUAUAGUUAAGUUUUUGUCUUUUGGUCUGUUUUUCUUAUACUGUAUGCAAUAGGUCUACUAUAUUUGGUGUAUGUAAUGAUUGUAAGGUGUACGUACAUGUCUAGCUGGCAGGUGUCAUCUGACCUUGACCUAAUUUUCAUGGUUCAGUGGUUAUAGUUAAGUUUUUGAGUUUGGUCUUUUUUUCUAAUACUAUAUGCAAUAGGUCAACUAUAUUUGGUGUAUGGAAAUAUUUUAUGAUCUAUAUGUCCGUAACGCAGGUUUUAUUUGACCUUGACCUCAUUUUCAUGGUUAAUUGCUCAGUGUUGAGUUUUUGUGUUUUGGUCUGUUUUCUUAAACUAUAAGCAAUAGGUCAACUACAUUUGUUGUAUGGAAGAAUUGUUAGCUGUACAUAUCUGCCUGGCAUGGUUCAUCUGACCUUGACCUCAUUUUCAUGGUUCAUUGGUCAAUGUUUAGUUUUCUUGGUUAAUGUUAAGUUUAUGUGACAGUUGUAAUAAAGCUUUAUAUUUAGGACUAUCAACAUAAUAUCAAUGAUUAGUAAAGAAGGCGAGACAUUUCAGCGUGUGCACUCUUGUACUUUAUACUGCUGGUAUUUUUUUUCACUAUUAAAGUUUAUGUUUAUCUAA